rnacentral:rRNA from 1 species
UACGGGGGGGGCAAGCGUUGUUCGGAAUUACUGGGCGUAAAGGGCUCGUAGGCGGCCAACUAAGUCGGACGUGAAAUCCCUCGGCUUAACCGGGGAACUGCGUCCGAUACUGGUUGGCUUGAAUCCGGGAGAGGGAUGCGGAAUUCCAGGUGUAGCGGUGAAAUGCGUAGAUAUCAGGAGGAACACCGGUGGCGAAAGCGGCUUCCUGGCCCGACAUUGACGCUCAUGUACGAAAGCGUGGGGAGCAAACAGG